AUUUGGGCUUCAUAUCAUGUCCGUACGAGGCCUGACUACCACAAUCUCUUCCUGGAAGAACCCUAAUCAUCCUCUACGCUCGCCUUCGUGAACUCCGCUCUCCUUCGAUCGGCGCAGCUGCGCUCCAUCUUCUGUAACGGUUCUUCGAUAGUUAAUGGACUUUAAACGUCUUAAAUCACCACUGCGAAGCUCCCUCCUGCGCCGCACCUCUGCUGCACUUUAGUACUCUCACGAUUCAUUGAUACUCGAAUCUGACCUCAUCUUUUCCAAUGGCUAUGGCGAAGGUUUUCUUUUCCGAUCUCAAGGCUGGGCGGUGCUCAUCCGUUGUGGAAGCGAGACUACUUCGAUUCUAGGAGGCUAGGAAUGUUAAGCGUGGUGGAGAGCUAAUGUGGAUGGAUCUGCUCAUGGUUGAUGUCAAAUCGACUGUGAUGCAAGUCACGAUCAGUGCUGGCCGUCUCCCACAGUUCAACAAUUCGAAUGACUACAGCACGACACCUGUCCCCUUUCUCUAAACUGUGCGUUCCAUUGAAGCAAACUUUGUUUCGUCAUCUUCUACCACAAGCUUUUCAUCUUCUUCAAUAUCAAAACUCGAUCUGUUCCUCCUACAUGUCAUCCUCAUUAACGAGCUUCUCCGUUGAAGUCUCCCUGGCUCCUCCAUCUCGAGUUCUGCUUCUCACGCCGUCUAGGACCUGUCUCGAUGAUGCUGCCUCUCUGACUCCACCACUGCGUCAUUUCCUUUGCGAGCAAUUCCAUAUCUCCUCUUUAUCCAAAGCGACUCCAUAUUUCUUUUCCUUCUCUUUCUGUCACCGGCAAUGGUGGUUAAGCUCCUUGGAUCUGCUCUGAGAUUGGAUAUGGUUAUAUUUGAUUAUCAAUCCUGUGUUUGAGGAUCUGUUAGAUUCUGAUUUGAUUUAUCUGAACCUUCACUGAUAUUGACGAGAGUCUAAUGUAAAUUAAGUCUGUUGCUAGCCUAUUUUUAUAUUGGUUAUGAAUUAUAAUGUUUUUGUGUGAUUGAUUUUGUUUGAUCUCAGUGUAGAUCUUUAGAUUGGUUUCUUUGAUUUAGGUUCUGUCAUGCUUACUAUUGAGUGAACAGAGCAGGAAUUCCUAUGCUCCAGAUUGUAUCUCACUUCAUAAGAAAAAUGGGCUUGAUGCCACUGAAUAUGGAUGCAAUGGAUUGUAUGGUAUUUGGAAGUGAGUAAUCUGAAUAUGCAAGAAGGCUCUCCCCACUGAUGUUAAUAUCUCAAUCCAUCCAAUUAGACAAGCUAAGUUUACAAGUGUCUUUCUUUCUUUGUCGUUUCUAUAUAUUCUGAGUUUAUUUGCAUUGCUUAAAAUUAUACGACUUAUUAAUGGCAUGGUGGAAGUGCGGCUGCUCAGAUUUGUCUGGCUUUGAGGUUUUUUGCUGUUGUGGUAGCAAAUAUAAUCUGUUUGGUUCUAACAUGGUUUGCAUGUAACUCGGUUUUCAUAUAAUUGCUCUGAUGAAAUGUGUCAUGAACUUAUUGUCUUGAGCUACCUUUCUAAUUAUUUUUAGAUCACCGAAGUAACUACGGAGCAAUGGAUUCAGGCUCAGCAGCUUGAACAGCUCAUUAGUGACAUCCAAGGAAAACAUUUUCCCAAAGUUCAAGAAGCAUUUGAUGUUCAUUGGGAUGGAAAGAAGGCUAUCUCUUUGUACAAUCAUAUCUCACAUAAGCCAUGUCUCAAUAAAAUAGCUUCUGGGCUGCUGUUACAAGACACCACCACCAGUUGCAAAGGUUCAUCAAACAUGAGAUGGGAAGAACCGAGAUCACACAUGGCUAGGUGCAGAGAUCUUCGUUGGCAAAAAAAAGGGAAGCUAAACGUGAAAAUCAGUAUGAGAAAAUUGGAUUAGCUAUAAGUUAACCAGAAUGAAAGGAGACUGGCAGACCUUUGCUGAACCUUUGUGAAGGAUGGUCUGGGUAAGCCUGUCACUGUGAGAAAGGUAGUACCAUGAGAUUUAGCAACGCAUAAGUGUAACCUGUUUUCCUCUUUUUCCAGAGAAGAUAAGAAUGUUCCUUGAGUGACCAGUUUUCUUAGUAAGAAACAAGAUUCUUCUGCUGGAGAAAAGGAAGCCAACGAUCAAUUUUUAAAAAAAUUUGUUUAGUUAACAUUAUUGUGUUGAGAAAAAAAAAUUUACAUUAUUAAUUCAUAUUAUAUGAAUGAUAUAUUUUAAAUUCCA